rnacentral:rRNA from 1 species
CGGACGGGUGAGUAAUGCUUAGGAAUCUGCCUAUUAUUGGGGGACAACAUCUCGAAAGGGAUGCUAAUACCGCAUACGUCCUACGGGAGAAAGCAGGGGAUCUUCGGACCUUGCGCUAAUAGAUGACCCUAAUUCGGAUUACCUAGUUGGUGGGGUAAAGGCCUACCAAGGCGACUAUCUGUAGCGGGUCUGAGAGGAUGAUCCGCCACACUGGGACUGAGACACGGCCCAGACUCCUACGGGAGGCACCAGUGGGGAAUAUUGGACAAUGGGGGGAACCCUGAUCCAGCCAUGCCGCGUGUGUGAACAAGGCCUUAUGGUUGUAAAGCACUUUAAGCGAGGAGGAGGCUACUUUAGUUAAUACCUAGAGAUAGUGGACGUUACUCGCAGAAUAACCACCGGCUAACUCUGUGCCAGCAUCCGCGGUAAUACAGAGGGUGCGAGCGUUAAUCGGAUUUACUGGGCGUAAAGCGUGCGUAGGCGGCUUAUUAAGUCGGAUGUGAAAUCCCCGAGCUUAACUUGGGAAUUGCAUUCGAUACUGGUGAGCUAGAGUAUGGGAGAGGAUGGUAGAAUUCCAGGUGUAGCGGUGAAAUGCGUAGAGAUCUGGAGGAAUACCGAUGGCGAACGCAGCCAUCUGGCCUAAUACUGACGCUGAGGUACGACAGCAUGGGGAGCAAACGGGAUUAGAUACCCUGGUAGUCCAUGCCGUAACGAUGUCUACUAGCCGUUGGGGCCUUUGAGGCUUUAGUGGCGCACCUAACGCGAUAAGUAACCGCCUGGGGAGUACGGUCGCAAGACUAAACUCAAAUGAAUUGAC